GACGAACGCUGGCGGCGUGCCUAAUACAUGCAAGUGGGACGCAAGGAAACACACUGUGCUUGCACACCGUGUUUUCUUGAGUCGCGAACGGGUGAGUAACGCGUAGGUAACCUGCCUAUUAGCGGGGGAUAACUAUUGGAAACGAUAGCUAAUACCGCAUAAUAUUAAUUAUUGCAUGAUAAUUGAUUGAAAGAUGCAAGCGCAUCACUAGUAGAUGGACCUGCGUUGUAUUAGCUAGUUGGUAAGGUAAGAGCUUACCAAGGCGACGAUACAUAGCCGACCUGAGAGGGUGAUCGGCCACACUGGGACUGAGACACGGCCCAGACUCCUACGGGAGGCAGCAGUAGGGAAUCUUCGGCAAUGGACGAAAGUCUGACCGAGCAACGCCGCGUGAGUGAAGAAGGUUUUCGGAUCGUAAAGCUCUGUUGUAAGUCAAGAACGUGUGUGAGAGUGGAAAGUUCACACAGUGACGGAGCUA
rnacentral:rRNA from 1 species